rnacentral:rRNA from 1 species
UAGCGUAUAUUUAAGUUGUUGCAGUUAAAAAGCUCGUAGUUGGAUUUCGGGUGGGUUUUAGCGGUCCGCCUAUGGUGAGUACUGCUAUGGCCUUCCUUACUGUCGGGGACCUGCUUCUGGGCUUCAUUGUCCGGGACAGGGAUUCGGCAUGGUUACUUUGAGUAAAUUAGAGUGUUCAAAGCAGGCUUACGCCGUGAAUACUUUAGCAUGGAAUAACAUAAUAGGACUCUGCCCUAUUUUGUUGGCCUGUAGGAGUGGAGUAAUGAUUAAGAGGAACAGUCGGGGGCAUUCGUAUUUCAUUGUCAGAGGUGAAAUUCUUGGAUUUAUGAAAGACGAACUACUGCGAAAGCAUUUGCCAAGGAUGUUUUCAUUAAUCAAGAACGAAAGUUGGGGGCUCGAAGACGAUUAGAUACCGUCGUAGUCUCAACCAUAAACGAUGCCGACUAGGGAUUGGCGGACGUUUUUGCAUGACUCCGUC